UUCUCGACCACGGAUGUGUUCUGGACCCAGGCCUCCUGGGGCACGUAAGCCACGGAACCCUAAAAUACAGCUCACUUCGGCCAUCAAAAGGCAGAUAGGGAUGGAGCUCCCCAAGGAGGGCAGAGAGCAGAGAGGACUUCCCUGCUCCCACUGCACCAACAACCGCCAGCAGAUGACCCUGGGGCACAGUGAGGUUUAUCCUGGCAACACAGGAGGGGAGAUAUGUCCCUGGGCAGGGCCCAGCCUGAGUCCGCGUGGAAUUGGUGAACCCCAGACAGAGCCAGCCUUUCCUGUUGGCGACUCAUGCAGAGGUCACUGUGGGUAAGCGUGGAGCUGUCCUUCUCUCUCACAGUCCUUGUCCGGCUAUUUAAGCGGCCACCUUGCCCCACACAGGUGCACAUGCACACACACACGUGCCGUCACACAAGCACACACGUGCAUUACACCGCACACUCAUGCACACUCCUGCAGUCAUACAAACGCACACCCUUAGGCAUACCACACGUACCACACACAUGUGCAGCCACAGACGUAUGCAUGCACACUCACAUGUAUGCACAAGUGCACACACAUUCACACACACACGUUCUAGUGCACACACGCUCAUGCCUGCAAGUGCACACGUGCGUGCACACAGCUGCUUGCACAUAUGCACACACACACACACACACACACACACACACUCAGUUUAUUGUGGCAGGAGGGUCUAACCAGCCUUGCCUCUUGUCCAGGGUAUUACAGUAGGCUCUUCACCACUCUCCCUGCUUCUGUCCUUGCCCUCCACCCCUGUUCAUGUGCUGUAGCCCAUCUUCCACCCCAUGGCCAGAAGGACCUGUUAAAACCCGUUAAAAGUGGGAUCAUGGUGCCUCCUCUCUGAAGCCUCCAGCGGUUCCCAAUUCACUCAGGAUAAAAGAAGUAGCAACAGUUCAGAUGCUGGAACCUUCUACAGGAGAAUGACAGACCUUGUUAGCCACUACCAGCUUCAGAAUCAGCUAACUCAGCACAAACCAAGGAUCCCUGACUGGGAAGGAUCCAAGAAAGAGAGAUCAGAGUGACCUCACCAGAAAUGUGGACACUUGGAAGGACACCAGAGACACAGAGAAGAGGAGGCUGGAGGUCCUCAAGGCACCCAGCUCCUGGCCCC